rnacentral:rRNA from 1 species
UACGGAGGGGGCUAGCGUUGUUCGGAAUUACUGGGCGUAAAGCGCACGUAGGCGGCUUUGUAAGUUAGAGGUGAAAGCCCGGGGCUCAACUCCGGAAUUGCCUUUAAGACUGCAUCGCUAGAAUUGUGGAGAGGUAAGUGGAAUUCCGAGUGUAGAGGUAGAAAUUCGUAGAUAUUCGGAAGAAACACCAGUGGCGAAGGCGACUUACUGGACACAUAUUGACGCUGAGGUGGCGA